UGCCAGCAGCCGCGGUAACACGGGGGGCGCAAGCGUUAUUCGGAAUUAUUGGGCGUAAAGGGCGCGCGGGCGGUCUUGUCCGUCAGGUGUGAAAGCCCCGGGCUCAACCUGGGAACUGCACCUGAUACUGCCAGUCUAGAAUACGGUAGAGGGUAGUGGAAUUUCCUGUGUAGCGGUGAAAUGCGUAGAUAUAGGAAGGAACACCAGUGGCGAAGGCGACUACCUGGACCGAUAUUGACACUGAGGUGCGAAAGCGUGGGGAGCAAACAGGAUUAGAUA
rnacentral:rRNA from 1 species